GACGAACGCUGGCGGCGUGCUUAACACAUGCAAGUCGAGCGGAAAGGCCCUGCUUUUGUGGGGUGCUCGAGUGGCGAACGGGUGAGUAACACGUGAGUAACCUGCCCUUGACUUUGGGAUAACUUCAGGAAACUGGGGCUAAUACCGGAUAGGAGCUCCUGCUGCAUGGUGGGGGUUGGAAAGUUUCGGCGGUUGGGGAUGGACUCGCGGCUUAUCAGCUUGUUGGUGGGGUAGUGGCUUACCAAGGCUUUGACGGGUAGCCGGCCUGAGAGGGUGACCGGCCACAUUGGGACUGAGAUACGGCCCAGACUCCUACGGGAGGCAGCAGUGGGGAAUAUUGCACAAUGGGCGGAAGCCUGAUGCAGCAAUGCCGCGUGCGGGAUGACGGCCUUCGGGUUGUAAACCGCUUUCGCCUGUGACGAAGCGUGAGUGACGGUAAUGGGUAAAGAAGCACCGGCUAACUACGUG
rnacentral:rRNA from 1 species